rnacentral:tRNA from 1 species
GCCUUCGUGGUGUAGUGGUUAACAUGCUCGACGCGUAUUCGAGAAGUCCAUGGUUCGAGUCCCGGCGAGGGCA